rnacentral:misc_RNA from 1 species
GAAAUGCGAUAAGUAAUGUGAAUUGCAGAAUUCAGUGAAUCAUCGAAUCUUUGAACGCACCUUGCGCUCCUUGGUAUUCCUUGGAGCAUGCCUGUUUGAGUAUCAUGAAAUCUUCAAAGUAAAUCUUUUGUUAACUCAAUUGGUUUCUACUUUGGUAUUGGAGGUCUUUGCAGCUUCACACCUGCUCCUCUUUGUUCAUUAGCUGGAUCUCAGUGUUAUGCUUGGUUCCACUCGGCGUGAUAAGUUAUCUAUCGCUGAGGACACUGUAAAAGGUGGCCAAGGUAAAUGCAGAUGAACCGCUUCUAAUAGUCCAUUGACUUGGACAAUACUUUUAUGAUUUGAUCUCAAAUCAGGUAGUACUACCCGCUGAACUUAAGC